rnacentral:rRNA from 1 species
GAUGAACGCUGGCGGCGUGCUUAACACAUGCAAGUCGAGCGAUGAAGUUUCCUUCGGGAAACGGAUUAGCGGCGGACGGGUGAGUAACACGUGGGUAACCUGCCUCAUAGAGUGGAAUAGCCUUCCAAAAGGAAGAUUAAUACCGCAUAACGUUGAAAGAUGGCAUCAUCAUUCAACCAAAGGAGCAAUCCGCUAUGAGAUGGACCCGCGGCGCAUUAGCUAGUUGGUGGGGUAACGGCCUACCAAGGCGACGAUGCGUAGCYGACCUGAGAGGGUGAUCGGCCACAUUGGGACUGAGACACGGCCCAGACUCCUACGGGAGGCAGCAAUGGGGAAUAUUGCACAAKGGGGGAAACCCKGAUGCAGCAACGCCGCGKGAGUGAUGAAGGUUUUCGGAUCGUAAAACUCUGUCUUUGGGGAAGAUAAUGACGKACCC